UAGGGAAUUUUCGGCAAUGGAGGAAACUCUGACCGAGCAACGCCGCGUGAAUGAAGACGUAUUUCGGUAUGUAAAAUUCUUUUAUUAGGGAAGAAUGGUCUGUGGAAAAACAGAAUUGACGGUACCUAAUGAAUAAGCCCCGGCUAACUAUGUGCCAGCAGCCGCGGUAAUACAUAGGGGGCAAGCGUUAUCCGGAAUUAUUGGGCGUAAAGGGUGCGUAGGCGGCCAUUUAAGUCCUUGGUGUAAGUGCAGCGCUCAACGCUGUGAUGCUAAGGAAACUGGAUGGCUUGAGUGAGAUAGAGGCAAGUGGAAUUCCAUGUGUAGCGGUAAAAUGCGUAAAUAUAUGGAGGAACACCAGUGGCGAAGGCGGCUUGCUGGGUCUUCACUGACGCUGAGGCACGAAAGCGUGGGGAGCGAACAGG
rnacentral:rRNA from 1 species